UACAGAGGUCCCAAGCGUUGUUCGGAUUCACUGGGCGUAAAGGGUGCGUAGGCGGUCGGGUAAGUCUGAUGUGAAAUCUCACAGCUUAACUGUGAAACUGCAUUGGAUACUAUUCGGCUUGAGAGUUGGAGGGGGGACUGGAAUUCUUGGUGUAGCAGUGAAAUGCGUAGAUAUCAAGAGGAACACCAAUGGCGAAGGCAGCUCGCUGGAACGGUACUGACGCUGAGGCGCGAAAGCGUGGGGAGCGAACAGG
rnacentral:rRNA from 1 species